GGAAGAAUGUACAUAUAAAGGAUCAUAAGAAUGCAGUUUUAAACAGGCAGGUGGGGGUGAGAAGUAUUAAAAAUUCAAAAGAAGUUUUAAAAUAAAGCAAGAAACAUAUGUUUAGAGCCAAAACAACGAAAGAGCAAAGUUUGAUCGUAGUUUUCAGGUGGGUAGGUAUCAGCCUGAAAAACCAAGAUGGUCACAUGUUCCACUUUAUAUUUUUAAUUUGGAGAAACUGGAAACUUCGUGGUGAAUAGGUGGAACAUAAUUUACAUUUCUGAAUGUGAAGCAAAGAAUUCUUACAGAACAUGAGCUGGCAUUACCCUCAAACCAAGAGAAAGUUUGAGUAGGGGAGAAGUAAAACCGACAAGUAAUCUUAUUCUUUCCUUAAUGGGAAGCCGUUUCUUCUUCAUUAUUAUUUUACAAAGUUUUUUUAAUGAAGAGAAAGUAACCUUGAAAAACAACUUGGCAAUGCCAUUCCCAGUAGAGUUUUAACUCAGCUUUGCGAACUCGUUUACGGAGUAUGUUAAAGCUUGUCACAGACAGAAGAUUUUUCAAUGACAAUUUUAAUCUUCCUUUUAAGGAUUUAGGAGGGGGCCAGAGGAAGGAUGACGUGGGCAUGCUUCUAUCUAGAAGAGAAGGAAACGACUCCGACUAAUCAUUUGUCCUUCGGGUAAUAGUCAAAAGCAGAUGUCUUAAGCAAGAGUGACCCAAAAUAGUAAUUAUUUUGGCCACUGUGCUUACAAUUUUAAAGUUAUUAUUUUCCAAUUAAUCACAGAAACAGUUAACAUUUGGAAGUGUCAACAAAAUCCAAUAUAGAAAAAAAAGAGAGAAGAAGAAAGUACACAAGGAAAAGAAUUACAUAAUAUCCUUGAUCUAUCCAGAGUCGAGAAUUGACAUAUUUAAUGUAAAUGCAAAACCAGACCACUUUUUCUUUAAAACAAACAAAAAACAAAAAACAAAAAACAAAGCAAAAAACUUAGUUUUAUGGUCAGAAUGUAGAGUUUUAAAAAAAGAAACCAAGAAUAUAUCUGGUAGCUUUGUACUAACACAGUUUAUACAAUUGUCUGCAUUUUCUGUUUGUUCUCUUCUUGAGAUGGGAAUUCUAUUGAAUUUUUACUCUAACACAUAUCA